GAGAUGUGGUAAACAGAAACUGUACAAAGCCGGUGGAACCGUCAGGAAGUUUAAGGGAGAAUCUCUGGGAACGUGGACUCAAUAUCGGAAACAUCGAUCCAUUUUGUAUCGGUUGUGCAGUUAUUUUUGCAGUUGUAACAUUUUCAGAACUUUUUAUAUAAUUCUAACCAUUCUACCAACAUAUCUUUCUAUUAGGAUUUCAAAGUAUAAUGAAAUUUCCUAUUUGUGGAGCACUUCAUUUCCUCUCUAAAUUCUCAAAGUAGUCUGCUUUACAUGCAAAACUUGAACUUUUUCUGUUUGUAAUUUCUAAAUUCCCAUUGAAGUGGACUAUGCAUCCAAGAUGUUUGAUGAUAUGCAAAACUUGAACUUCUUCUGUUGGUAAUUUCUCGGGUGUUAGUUUUCGAUUGUUUUGAAUAAUUUCUUGAGUGAUCGUACCUAAUUGCAAGGUAUCAAAAUUGAUGCUAUAAGAUUAGGUCUCGUAAUUUGUGUUUUCUAUUGUUAUUUGUUCCUGUAAGAAUAACUUUAUCAGUAGAUCCAGUUCCAAAAAGGAAGAGACGAACAAGGAAAGAUGAGGAUGGAUGAUCUGCACAACUGCUUGUGUGACAAUCUCUUCUAUUCAGAAGAGAAAGCGGAAGAUGAACGAAGAUGCACCUAUUUUUUCAGCCUAUUGCGUACAAAGAUCGGUUGAAGCCUAAUCAAUUGAAAGAAAAUUAAUAUGCCUUGGGAUGCCCUUUUUUUAUGCACAGUAUUUCAGUGUAGAUGAAGACAUUGUCUUGAACAAAUUGAUGAGUUGAAUCCUCUUCUUAGUGGAGAUGUUUUCAGCAAGAUUGAUCCCAACAUGUAGGAGUAACUAAGUUUCUCAGGUGAAAAUACAUAGACAAUGUAACUAGGUUGAGAAUUGCUGAACAUUUAUAGGUUUCACCAGCUCUUUUUCUUUGAUGUGAUAA